rnacentral:lncRNA from 1 species
CCUAUUAAACUAUAAUAGUUUUCAUAUAUCAUGUGCUUCUUCGGCUCUCUUUGUGUAGCUUAAAUAAGAUUUGAAAUCUGGGUUAAGUUCAUGUUAUAGAAUGGUAAAGUCUUGAGUUAUGGUUUAUAUAAAGGUAUAUGCUAGGUCACAAGGUCCAAUUACAGAAAUACAGUUGAGACAUUUUUUUCUCUUACCUACAUGUGCCCCUUUCAUUGUUUGUUUAGAGAAACGUAAGUCAAGGUAGAUAGUGGGUCAUCUGAGUCAUGAACUUGGUAACAAGGUCAAAUAAUGGAAAACCCUUGUAACCUACAUGAAGCAUGUCAGACAGUUUAUUUUUAAGAAAUUAAUAGACAGGAACUUUGUCAUCUUGGUUCGAUAUUUUUUUAUAUUCCCUUAACUAUUGAUCGAGCCUACAAACGACACCAUCGAGGGUCCCGGUGCUAAUAUAUCCGCAAGAUGGGGUCGAUUGCGCGAGUAACUGAUCUUAAAUUCUGCGCCGGCAGUGUUAAGAUUAAGGUUGUUCCUGUGGGUACAGAGAGAUGGGAAUAAGGGUAAUUAACUAGGUGUUUUUGUCAAAUUACAAAGCUUAGAGGAGACCUUUCCUCCCUGGCCUACCCGAAGCCUGUCAAGUUUGUUUAAAAACGUUUUAGUCAAGGUAGAUAUUAGGUUAUCUUAGUUAUAAACUUAGUCACAUGGUAAAAUCAUAGAAACCCCCUGUUCUUGCUAUAGAUGGGCCAUUUUCUGUCUAACCUACCUGAAGCAUACCAAAAAGUUUAUUUUUAAAGAAAUUAAGAGUUAGAUAGGAACUUAGUUACAGUCAUCUCUGGCCAAAAUCUAAGUCAAUGGCUUAGCUUAACAAUACAUAAGCCAAAUGUUUUUAGAUAAUGUAAACUUUUAGAAUGUUUGCCAAAGUUAAAAACUGGGACUUCUAAGGUUAAAACAUAAAGUUAUUUCUCUGUAAUGUAACUCAUAUGAAACAUUUAGGAACAAUUUUAUAAUAGACAAAUACUAGGUCACUAGGUCAAGUCGGUAUGAGGUGUAAAAUUGGGUUUAAAAAUCUAGCACCAACUCAACUCCUAAUUUAUGUAAAAUGUAGCAAACUUGAAUUUUUAAAUAAUUAGUAUUUUAUAAAAGGAUGCCUGCCCUUUAACAAAUUGGUUGGAAUGAGCAUUUUUAUAUGCCCGAAGGGACGUAUUAUGUUAUACCCGGUGUCCGUUUGUCUGUCUGUCCAUCCGUACGUUAGCAAAUUCGUGUCCACUCUGUAACUCUAGAAUAGCUUGAAGGAGUUAGUAGAAACUGGCUUUAAUGUGGUACAACAUGGAUGAUACCUCCAAUUUUUAGGUGUAUUCUGACAUAUCUGUACCUGGUAUUGUUUUCUGUGGUCUUACUUUUUUUUAAAUUUCUUUUGUUGUUCCUGUCUUUUGGGCCUUUACAGUGAAUUUCUUUAGAUUUUUCUCCCAUCUUCUGAUACAACCAUUCGGUCACACUUAAGAUGUCAAAGGUCAUAACUUCGGGCAUAUAUUGCUCCGCAUUGCGGUGCUUCUUGUUUCGUUUUCUGCCAAUCUUCCAGGCUGCCAAAGAGGAGGUGCUGCUUCAAAAGAUUGGCAGAGUUGCAUUUUCUUACAGCCGCCAAGGCCUGACAGAUACCUUAACUAUUGAUCAAGCCUGCAAUCGGUACCAUCGAGGAUCCCGGUGCUUAUAUAUCCGCAAGAUGAUAUCGUGUGGGAGUAACUGUUCUACAAUUCUGCGCCGGCAGUGUUUAGAUGACAGUUGUUUCUCUGGGUUAAGAGAUAUGGGAAUCGGGGAUUGUCAGGAUUUUAUUUCUUUCAGGUCCAAACCCUGCCUAUAACAACUGACUGUUUGUUCCGUCCAUGCAUGCAGUCGGCAGGAUUUUCUUUCAGCGUCAAGACCUGUCUAGUGUAACCUCUGUAUGAAAAAGGCAGGAUUUAUUUCUUUUCCAGUUUCAAGAUCUGCCUUAGACAGCAACAUUAUGUUCAGCUGAACAUAUAGAGGGCAGAAUAUUUCUUGCAGAUUAAAGGCCUGACAAGAUUCCUUAACUGUUGAUCAAGACUGCUAUGACGUUACCAUCGAGGGUUCCGGUGCCUAUAUAUCCGCAAGAUGGAAGCGUAUGGGGGUAACUGAUCUACAACUUCUGUGCCGGCGGGUUGCUAGAUGAUAGUUGUUCCUUUGUUGAGUGAGAUGGGAAUUGGGAAUUGUCAGGAUUUUUUCUUUUUCAGGUACAUUCCCUGCCUAGGCAACUAAUGUGUGUUAAACUAGGACGGAACAUACAUUUGGCAGGAUUUCUAUUUCUUUCAAGGUCCACACCCUGCCUAUGACAACUGACUGUUUGUCCGUCCAUGCAUGCAGUCGGCAGGAUUUUUUUCAGUGCCAAGACCUGUCUGGGCAACUAAUGUAUGGUACACUUGGACAGAACAUACAUUGGGCAGGAUUUCUAUUUCUUUCAGAUUCAAUACUUGCCAGGAGCGGACAGGAUUUUUUGUUUCAAAUUUUCUGCCAACCUUUGCCUUUCAUCAAAAGGGCAGGCCAGACUGACAGACAUUUUUUUCUUUUAAGUAGUCGUUCAGCACACUUCUGCACUUUUUAUUAAAACAAGCUUUCUUAGUAUAACAAUUCUUUGGCAGUUUUUCCUGUUUUGGCAUAUUUCUAAUUUCAGUCUUGAAAGCAAGAGACAUUCCCCCGGCAAAUUGAAACUGUUCUAACUCGUGCAUAUGUCAUCUACCUUAUGUCUGUCUACAUGCUAUCUUCAUUAGCAGUGAUACAGAUGAGUUAAAUGUUACGCCAUGAAAAAUGCCGAUCGAGAGUCCUGCAGCCAAAGACCCCAGUGCUGUCUCCUGCAGUAGCUAGACCUUCAAGUCAUUUCAUCAUGACAUCUGUUGUAUCUAUUCCAAAAAAAUUAUUAUUGUCAGUACUUAAAUACCUCCAGAACUACCUUGUAAAAAAGUAGACAUGGAGAGAAAAAGGAUUAUAUGACUCAUCUAUGGACUCCUUUAUAGACUAGUCUUCUACAAAAUAAUUAAAACAAUUGUAGCCAACUUUUUGUCAUAUCCUUUGCCGACGGUAAAACCAACAAAAAUAUAGUUUUUGCCUUUAUUCUUUUGACUGCAUUUGUAUAUGAUUUUGGUGUUUGUGUGUUAAGAUGCAAGAAUAAAAUAUGCUCGACUCGUGACAUCUUCGGAUGUCUCUAAAUUGCUUUUUGUACUUUUAGCAUGUGUAAAUGUUGAGUUCUGCUUAACCCGGGGCUAGAGGGUGUGGACGGUAGCAUGCAUUUCCACUACCGUCCAUGAACAGACUCAAUCAAACCGAGCCUGCAACAUUUUCGUUUUUGUCGUGUUGAGCGACCUCUGAAGUUUCUACUUUUCUCUAUUUUACAACAGUGCAUGUGUGACCAAGAGGCUAUGGUUAGUGACAUUGGAACAGAUGCUCUUUCCUUUAAGGGGUGGAAACUUUUUGAAAUGUAUAGGUCUAUGUAGAUUUCUGUCUUAUGAGGAAGUUUUUCACCUGAAUAAGAAACUAAGAAAAGUUUGAUAGUUAUUCCCAGGUCUUCCUUAUAACAUGCAUCUGUUUUGUUGUAAAGUGGAUUGAAACAUUUUAAUAUUGUAAAUACUUCAAACUUGUUACACUUAAUGCUCUUGUGAUGCAAAUACUGUAUUGUUUUUGUGUUUUGUCUAUUAUAACAGUAAGUAAACUUUAAACAUA